CAGUUACAGAAAUCCGUAGAGACACUACAGAUGCGGAGCCACGCCCAUUAUCGUCGGUGGCCUAAAGAGUUAAUGAAACUUAACGACAUAAUUGAUGUGCAACGAACUGCAAGGAUUUUUUGAAGAAUUGUUACUUUGAAAAGCUGACAAUGCACACGGGCCAGUAAGAGCGUGACAACCAUGAUGCGGAUGAUGAAGAUAAUGAUGGUGUGCGUGGGAAGGCAAAGGAGGCAGGGAGGGUCAGCUACUGAUGAUGAUGUGUAUAACAACAUAACGUUGUUGAUGACAACCAGCAACAAAAAGAGGCAACAAGCAACAUUGUGGCAAAUUGUGCACUUUGUCUGCGGGCUGGAGGGGCUUGAAGGGCUGGUCGAAAAGGAGGAGCAGGGUUUUCGGCCAGGGAAUCGCCCAAGGCGCCAACAUUCCUGAUGCGUCCGUCCGUUUGUCCGGCACGCACCACCUAACCGAGAACCAGCAUCGCAGGCUCGUGGACCAGUGGCGCACAUAUUUGGCCACCAGCAGACGGACCAGCCGGGCGAUGACCACACAAACAGGCGAAAGGACACGAGCACACUUGGAGAAAAAGCGUAAUAGUAUAACUAUGCACACUGUUUAGGUCGGAAAUAAGUUGUAUGUAUGCAAAGUGUGAAAUCAGGAUAACCCAGUACAAAUGAACUAAAAUUAAAGAUUUCUUAUAAAUUCAAUCAUAAA